rnacentral:snoRNA from 1 species
AUCCUUCUGUAGUUCACCAGCAUGAUGAUUGAAUUUUCACGGACACGUGUGAGAUGUGCCGCCUCCAAAUUUUUUUUUACAACAGCACGUUACCCAUGUCACA